rnacentral:rRNA from 1 species
GAUGAACGCUGGCGGCGUGCCUAUUACAUGCAAGUCGAGCGAACAGACGAGGAGCUUGCUCCUCUGACGUUAGCGGCGGACGGGUGAGUAACACGUGGAUAACCUACCUAUAAGACUGGGAUAACUUCGGGAAACCGGAGCUAAUACCGGAUAAUAUAUUGAACCGCAUGGUUCAAUAGUGAAAGACGGUUUUGCUGUCACUUAUAGAUGGAUCCGCGCCGCAUUAGCUAGUUGGUAAGGUAACGGCUUACCAAGGCAACGAUGCGUAGCCGACCUGAGAGGGUGAUCGGCCACACUGGAACUGAGACACGGUCCAGACUCCUACGGGAGGCAGCAGUAGGGAAUCUUCCGCAAUGGGCGAAAGCUUGACGGAGCAACGCCGCGUGAGUGAUGAAGGUCUUCGGAUCGUAAAACUCUGUUAUUAGGGAAGAACAAUUGUGUAAGUAACUAUGCACGUCUUGACGGUACCUAAUCAGAAAGCCACGGCUAACUACGUG